UACGGGAGGCAGCAGUGAGGAAUAUUGGUUAAUGGACGAGAGUCUGAACCAGCCAAGUAGCGUGCAGGACGACUGCCCUAUGGGUUGUAAACUGCUUUUAUGCGGGAAUAAAGUCAGGUACGCGUACCUGUUUGUAUGUACCGCAUGAAUAAGGACCGGCUAAUUCCGUGCCAGCAGCCGCGGUAAU
rnacentral:rRNA from 1 species